rnacentral:rRNA from 1 species
UACAGAGGGGGCAAGCGUUGUUCGGAAUUACUGGGCGUAAAGGGCGCGUAGGCGGCCUUCUAAGUCGAACGUGAAAUCCCCGGGCUCAACCCGGGAACUGCGUCCGAGACUGGAAGGCUCGAAUCCGGGAGAGGGAUGUGGAAUUCCAGGUGUAGCGGUGAAAUGCGUAGAUAUCAGGAGGAAUACCAGUGGCGAAGGCGGCUUUCUGGGCCUACCCUGACGCUGAGGAGCGAAAGCGUGGGGAGCAAACCGG